UAGACCAAUAAUGAGAGAGUGCCAUGAACCAAAGAUUACAAUUAAUCCAUUUCCAAACAACUGAAAUGAGGGAU
rnacentral:snoRNA from 1 species